rnacentral:rRNA from 1 species
GACGAACGCUGGCGGCGUGCCUAAUACAUGCAAGUAGAACGCACAGUUUAUACCGUAGCUUGCUACACCAUAGACUGUGAGUUGCGAACGGGUGAGUAACGCGUAGGUAACCUGCCUGGUAGCGGGGGAUAACUAUUGGAAACGAUAGCUAAUACCGCAUAAUAUUAAUUAUUGCAUGAUAAUUAAUUGAAAGGUGCAAUUGCACCACUACCAGAUGGACCUGCGUUGUAUUAGCGAGUAGGUGAGGUAACGGCUCACCUAGGCGACGAUACAUAGCCGACCUGGGAGGGUGAUCGGCCACCCUGGGACUGAGACACGGCCCAGACUCCUACGGGAGGCAGCAGUAGGGAAUCUUCGGCAAUGGACGAAAGUCUGACCGAGCAACGCCGCGUGAGUGAAGAAGGUUUUCGGAUCGUAAAGCUCUGUUGUAAGAGAAGAACGGGUGUGAGAGUGGAAAGUUCACACUGUGACGGUAUCUUACCAGAAAGGGACGGCUAACUACGUG